AAUAGAUACCCAGGUAGUCCACGCCGUAAACGGUGGGCACUAGGUGUGGGCGACAUUCCACGUCGUCCGUGCCGCAGCUAACGCAUUAAGUGCCCCGCCUGGGGAGUACGGCCGCAAGGCUAAAACUCAAAGGAAUUGACGGGGCCCGCACAAGCGGCGGAGCAUGUGGCUUAAUUCGACGCAACGCGAAGAACCUUACCAAGGCUUGACAUACACCGGAAAGCAUCAGAGAUGGUGCCCCCCUUGUGGUCGGUGUACAGGUGGUGCAUGGCUGUCGUCAGCUCGUGUCGUGAGAUGUUGGGUUAAGUCCCGCAACGAGCGCAACCCUUGUCCCGUGUUGCCAGCAGGCCCUUGUGGUGCUGGGGACUCACGGGAGACCGCCGGGGUCAACUCGGAGGAAGGUGGGGACGACGUCAAGUCAUCAUGCCCCUUAUGUCUUGGGCUGCACACGUGCUACAAUGGCCGGUACAAUGAGCUGCGAUACCGCGAGGUGGAGCGAAUCUCAAAAAGCCGGUCUCAGUUCGGAUUGGGGUC
rnacentral:rRNA from 1 species